UGCACUUGUAGGAAAUGGUGAUUGGUUUGGUGAAGGGAGCAAACUCAUUAUUACUACAAGAAAGAAAGAUGUUCUCAUUGUUCCGGAAGUGGACUGCACUUAUGAGGUUAAUGGCAUGGAUGACUGUCAAUCUCUUCAACUCUUUAGCAAACAUGCUUUCAGAAGAGAAUCUCCUUUGAUUGAGUAUAUUGACCAAUCCAAGAGGGCAAUAGGCAUUGCUAGAGGUCUUCCGCUAGCUCUUGAGGUCAUAGGUUCACUUUUAUCUGGCACUGAAAAGAAAAGCUGGGAUGACAUAUUGGAGAAGUUGGAAAAGGUUCCUCAUGUGGAUGUUCAGAGUAAGCUAAAAAUAAGUUAUGAUGCAUUAGAACUUCGACAACAACAUAUAUUCCUCGAUAUAGCUUGUUUUUUCAUUGGACAUGACAAAGACAUUGUGGUCCAUUUCUGGGAAAAAUCUAAAUUUUUUCCAAAAGUAGAUAUGGAAGUUCUGCAGAACAUGUCUUUGAUAAAGAUUGGAGAGUAUAAUAAAGUGUUGAUGCAUGACCAACUCAGAGAUUUCGGAAGAGAAAUGGCUCGUCAAGAAAGUAAGAUGAAAAUAGAGAAGCAAAGGAGGGUAUGGGAUCCCAAGGAAGCAUUGGAUUUGCUGAGGAGACGUAAGGGAAAAACAAAAGUUGAAGCUCUUCAUCUACACUUUGACCAUGAGCUGCAGUACCGUUUUACCCGUAAAGAUUUUAAGAGAAUAUCAAAUGUGGGGUUUCUUCGAGUUAACGGUUUGGAGGAACAUUUUUGUGUUGAAGAGAGGCUUCUUUGGCACGAAUCACCAUCAAAUGUUCUUCCGGCUAAUGUUUUUCGAGAGAAUUCGUAUCUCCUUCCGCAUUUACGAUGGCUUUCUUGGCACGGUAUUCCCCCAACAUUUAACAUUGCAAAUUUCUCCAUGGAGAAUGUGGUUAUUCUUGAUCUAUCUAACAGUGAAAUUACGGAUGAUUGGAAGGGGUGGAGCCAUAUGGAGGUGAUGAAGAAUUUGAAAAUUUUGAAUUUGACCGGAUGCGAUUGCUUGGAGAGAACUCCCAUCUUCUCUGCUGAGGUAAAUUUAGAACGAUUGAUCCUAAAGGGCUGUGAAUCAUUAACUGAUAUUGAUAGGUCGAUUUGUCAUUUGAAAAGCCUAGUUUCCUUAGAUGUAAGCUCUUGUAACAAUCUUCGGAGGCUGCCAGACGAGCUAGGUAGAGAUCUUGCGAGCCUUGAAUACCUAUCUCUGAAAUGUUGCAUAUCGUUCGAGAGGCUUCCGGAUACAAUCGGAAAUUUAGAAUCGCUGAUUGAGCUGGAUAUAUCCCAAACAGGGAUCAAAGAAUUGCCCGAUUCCAUCGGAAAUUUGGAAUCAUUGAUUGAGCUAGAUAUAUCCGAAACGGGGAUCAAAGAACUACCCGAUUCCAUCGGAAAUUUGGAAUCACUGAUUGAGCUGGAUAUAACCAAAACGGAGAUCAAAGAACUACCCGAUUCCAUCGGAAAGUUGAAAAAUUUGAAAGUAGUGAAGAUGGAUUUAAAUGACAUAAGUAAAAUACCCGAUGCCUUCUGGACAAUUGAGAAGCUCGAAGAAAUAGAUGUCCAAUUUACAGACGAUUUCAAUGUGGAAGUGGAAAUUGGCAAUUGCAUCUAUAGAAAUCGAUCCCUAAGGAUCUUGAAAUUGUGGAAUGCUGCAAUAUACGUGGUACCGAGGCUUCCUGAAAGUCUUAUCAUUCUAGAGUUGCAUGACUUGCAUAUGGAUACGUUUCCAGAUCUCUCAAACCUGACUAAUUUAAAGGAAUUGAAGCUGUGGCUUAGCGAACAUAAUGCUGGUUGGGAAUCUGAUGGGCCUGUGCAAGAAUAUCCGAUGCCAGGGGGGAUUGGGAAUUUAAGCAAACUGGAGACUCUGGACCUAUCCUCUUAUCGUGUGACCCACUUACUCACGGAUAUUAGUAGUCUCCUUCCUCGACUCCAAAGACUUAAACUCUGGUGCCCUAAUCUGCGUUGCCUCCCGAGCCUUCCCUCCAGUUUAUUAUCCUUGGAAUUGGAGUCUGAACACAUGACCGCCUUACCCACAGAUUGUUGGAGUCUCCUUCCCCGACUCCAAACACUUAUACUCUUCUGCCGUAAUCUGCGUUGCCGCCUGAGCCUUCCCUCCAGUUUAUCAUUAUUGAGUUUGUAUGGUUGCAAGUCAUUUGUUUUCCCCGGGGAUCUAUCGAAUUUGACGAACCUAUCAUAUCUUUGGAUUACUAACUGUGUAAUCUCAGAGAUUCGAGGCCUUGAUGGUUCGGAGAACCCAGAUUUGCAGCUUUCGGAACUUCAACAGGUGUGGGUAUUACCUGAUCUAAGUAAUAACAACCAACUACGGUAUCUUCAUCUGUGGAACUGCAGUAAUCUGGUUGAGAUUCAAGGCGAACUACCACAAUGUUUGGAAGAAUUGACUAUUCAUGACUGUGGAUCUUUACAGAAGUUGCCUGAUCUAUCAAGCUCGAAGGGACUGCGAUCUGUUGAUAUAAGGCGUUGCGGGAAAUUAAAUGUGGAGGCAAUUUCUUUGCUUUGCUCCGAGAAGGCAGUCAGAUUUCGGGGAGACGAGACGAAUCAGAAGGAGAAGAUGACGAAUCUGGAUACGAAUUUGAAUAUGGAUCUGAGGGAGAAGACUGACGGAUAAGUGCACGUUGCUCUUGAAAGCUUCUUGAUCGCCGACCACAAAUUGUUCCCUUGUGUGCAAACUUUAAACGAAUUGAGGAAAGAUGUGCUUCUUAGUGGGAUUUGCAAAUAUUAUGGAGAAGUCAUAAAAUGAAGAAAGAGGAAUUUUACUUGGGUAGCGGAUCAAUAGUUGGUGCAGCAAAACUUCCACCUCCAAGCUGUGGCUAAUUGGGCAGCUGUACAAAUGAAGACCGAAUAAAGGAAAAUGAAAAUGACAUCCAAAGUGAAGUUUUAUGUCCUCUUUUUAUUUACUUUAUGAGUUGAUGCCUGGAAAUCUGAAGAAGGAAAGGUGUGCUUCUUAGCGGGAUUUGCAAAUGUUAUGGAGAAGUUAUAAAAUGAAGAAAGAGGAAUUUCACUUGGGUAGCGGCAUCAAUAGUUGGUGUAGCAAAGCUUCCAUCUGUGACAGGAGAGGAGAACUAUUUAGCUUGGCCAAGGUAUCAUAAAUCAUAUUAUAGUUGAGGCUAAAUUUCAGUAUUAUCGGUGUAUCGGACAUGUGAGGAGUCUCACUUGGGGUUUGAAAUCUUGAAAAUCGACCCUUGUGUGAUCUCCAUUAUUGCCUCCAUUUUCUUGAAAUGGUUAUGCCUAGGUGGUUAUCUGUAAUAGAAGCCUAGCUGUAUAGAUGGAGACCGAAGAAAGGCAGAUGAUGGAUGAAAUUUGAUGUUGAUCAUGUUCCCUCUCACAAUCUUGGGGUGGUAAACCCUGUAUUCAUCUGUUUUGGAGGGUAAAAAAGCUAUUUAGGCAAACCUGAUUUUUUUUCCUUUAUUGUGGGCUGAAAAAAUGAUUAUUACAUUUCAUCUAAA